GGCGACGUAGCCAAGUGGUUAAGGCAGGGGUCUGCAAAACCCUGAUCGGCGGUUCGAAUCCGCCCGUCGCCUCCA
rnacentral:tRNA from 1 species